UGGGUUUAAAAGUGUCCGUAGGCGGUCUGGUAAGUGGAAGGUGAAAAUCCCUACGGCUCAACCGUAGAAUUGCCUUCCAAAACUGCUGGACUUGAGGCAGGGAGAGGUCGGCGGAAUUCCCCGGUGUAGCGGUGAAAAUGCGUAGAUAUCGGGAGGAACACCAGUGGCGAAGGCGGCCGACUGGAACUGUCCUGACGCUGAGGGACGAAAGCUA
rnacentral:rRNA from 1 species